CCGCAGAACUCAAUCAUAUAAGACACCUGCUCAACAUCAUCUGCUCCAAACUGGUCAAAUAAUGUACAAGAGUAAUACCUACACACACACACACACACACUUAAAAUGACUAUCAAUAUCAAUGUGGAAUAUUCAAGGCUUGAAUUCAACAGCCUUUGGACUAAAGAGUUCAAACACAGAAUUUCAGAAGAGCAUCAAAGAGAUGGAUAUUAUAAUUCUACAGGAGACAUGGAGCAGGGCAGACACCAUCACCCGCUGCCCACCCAACUACAGAGAAAUCAUCCUACCAUCACAAAAACUCAACACAGUCCGACACGGAAGAGACUCAGGAGGACAAAUCAUCUGGUACAAAUCACAAUUCCACAACCACAUCAACACAGUAAAGCAAGGCAAAUACUACAGCUGGCUUAAAAUCAACAAGGAACUGCUCCCAUCCAGAAAAGAUAUAUUCCUGUGUGCCAUAUACAUCCCGCCAUCAGAGUCCCCCUACUACAGCGAAGACAUGUUCUCCACAUUAGAAGAAGAGACAAGCCACUUCCAGGCCCAGGGAAACGUGCUCAUCUGCGGGGACCUGAACGCAAGAACAGGACUACAGCCGGACUUCACCGACGCACAGGGGAGCAAAUAUAUCAACAACAAACUGACGGUUAUUAAUAACACAUUCUCCCAUAUCCACAGAAAUAACCAUGAUGCUACAGUAAAUAAGAAUGGAAAAGUCCUCCUGCAGCUCUGUCGAAGCCUGGGUCUGUAUAUCAUCAACGGUAGGAUACGAGGAGACACUUUAGGGAGAUUCACAUUUUGCUCACCUCUGGGGAAUAGCACAGUUGAUUAUAUGAUAACAGACAUAGAUCCUUCAUCUCUCAGAUCAUUCACUGUCAGAGAACUAACCCCUCUGUCUGAUCACAGUCAAAUCACUGUGCAUCUCAAAAAGACAGAAAACAGCAUUAACACAAAGCCCAGUAAGCUGUACAACAUCAGAAAGCCAUACAGAUGGGCUGACAACAGCGCUGAAGAAUAUCAGAAAGCACUUAGCAGCCAAACAAUACAAGCGCUGGUAGAUAACUUUCUAAAUAACACCUAUGCUCACACUAAUGAGGGGGUCAAUCUUGCGGUCAAAGAUAUCAAUUACAUAUUUGAAAAAUCAGCAAAACAAUCCAAAUUGAAAACAAAAAAUGGAAAAAAUCAAAUACCCAAAAAUGACAAAAAUUGUUUUGAUCAGGAAUGGCAAACUAUUCGCAAAAAACUGAGAACAUUGUCAAAUCAGAAACACAAAGAUCCCAAUAAUGCAGAGCUCCGCCUUCUUUACAGUGAAACACUAAAACAAUACAAACAUACGCUCAGAACCAAAAAAGCACAAUACACCCAAAAACAAC
rnacentral:lncRNA from 1 species